rnacentral:misc_RNA from 1 species
UUUGCUGCAAAAACCAAAUGUUAUCAAUGAAACCACCAUGCAAAACAAAUGACAAUGUAUGAUCUAAGAAAAAAUUUUCCAAUUUUGUCAAUUCAAGAACAGGAUGAUCAAUUAUAGCAUCUUAUCAACUUCCUUGUGUAAUUUAGUAGAGGGCAGCCACAUGUGAAAUAUCCUGGCAAUGACAAAGUACAGUAAACUAAAGUCUGAUUUUAAUUACUUUGAAAUUCCGAGUUUCAAUAUG